ensembl:lncRNA
AUGGAUACAGAGGGUGGGGCUUCGAAGAUAGCAUCUAGAUCCAGGGAAGUCAUGCUCCCCCUCUAUUCUGCCUUGGUCAGACCACACCUGGAAUACUGUGUCCAAUUUUGGGCACCGCAGUUGAAGGGAGAUGUUGACAAGCUGGAAAGCGUCCAGAGGAGGGCGACUAAAAUGAUUAAGGGUCUGGAGAACAAGCCCUAUGAGGAGCGGCUUAAAGAGCUGGGCAUGUUUAGCCUGCAGAAGAGAAGGCUAAGAGGAGACAUGAUAGCCAUGUACAAAUACGUGAAGGGAAGUCAUAGGGAGGAGGGAGCAAGCUUGUUUUCUAGACUAGGAUGCGGAACAAUGGCUUCAAACUACAGGAAAGGAGCCUCCACCACAGAGAGUUCCACUGCUGAACAGCUCUCUCUCACAGUUAGGAUGUUCUUCCUCAUGUUCAGGUGGAAUCUCCUUUCCUGUAGUUUGAAGCCAUUGUUCCAUAUCCUAGUCUCCAGGGCAACAGAAAACAAGCUUGCUCCGUCCUCCCUAUGACUCCCCCUCACAUAUUUAUACAUGGCCAUUCCCUAUCACCAUAUAAUGCAUAUACUUGCAUGCAUGAGAAGGAGAAAAAAACUGGAACAGCCACAAAUGAGUGGACAGAAAUAAUGCAAAGUAUAGCACGUGUGAUCAUGGCAGGAGUGCACUUUAACAGUGGUGUGGCCUCGCAUAGAGGGUGCUUUGAUUCUGUGUUCCUGCAUGGCAGGGAGUUGGACUGGAUGGCCCAUGAGGUCUCUUCCAACUCUAUUAAUCUAUGAUUCUAUGAAAUGUGUGAUUCUUAAUGCUGUUCUCACCUCAGUUUAAUAAGGACUUGUAUGAUGUUAACGUGAUCACUACGGACCAGGAAAAUUCACCUGUACAGACAACACCCAAGGCAGUGAACCAAAUAGGGUGACUUGGGGGCGGGGGAGGCAGAGAGUUCAGUAUGUUGGAUAGCUCCGUUAAAAUCUGAGCGGAAACACAGCUGCACUCCUUGCCCCACUGUCAUGAGAUGCUUUCUUUUUACUAAUUCUUGUGCUGGACUACAAUUCCGCAGGUUCAUCUUUCUCUUUUCUUUUUUUCUUUAUAAAAAACCCUCUUAGACUGUCUCGAGCUUAUGAGUUUUUUGCCAACAUAAAAAAGGACAGACCUUGAAAUGAGAUACAUAAGAAGCAUUUCUUUUUCCUUUCCCCGUCUUUUUGGUAGCUGCACAUAUCUAUUUCCUCCUGGGAUGCGCAGCCACACGUGAAUGUGUGUUCUAAAAAGGUUUUCAGUAUUCAGGUCUGCUCUUUAAGCGCCCUCCCUCUCAAAUAUGACCUUCAGGGAUUUCAGAGUUUACCAGUUGUAGAAAUAUGCUCAGUAUCUGAAAUAUGUCACCUGCAAGAAGCAAGGUAACUCCUUUUAUCAGAAAACUCAGGAAUACACAAGAGUCAUUCCUUUGUUUGAAAAUAGUUUGUAUAUGGAACUUUGAAGAUGAUAAUACUGUCUGCAAAGUUGAUGACUGUUAUGCGGCUGUAUUUGUAGCUAGCUAGAUAUAAAUAGGGGGUCUACUUUUCACAAAUAUCUCCGACAUGUUGUGUGCCUUUUGUAGAGCCAUUAUUAUUUAUGCGCCAAGGCUGAUGGCUGUCAUGGCCAGUCUGUGGUGGCACCAUUCAUGGAGGAAGAGUUUACUGAAUCUAUGUCAUCCAUACCAUCCAAACCACCUCUUUUGAACUCCCAACAGCCUUUUGUUCCAAAACUAGAAACAAAUGCCUAUUAGUGGGAACAGAGGAUGGAAAAUGGACUGAGCGCAGACCUGAACCCUUCACUGCUCAUCACCUCAAUUGUAAGCCUUGUGUGUGAUUUGGGUCAUUCUCCAGGUUCUGGGUGUGGGUCCAUAACCCUAGGUGCCUGAAGCCAAUAUCUAUCCUUUCUCAUCCCAGAUCUGUCUGUCAUCCCAAACUUGGCACAAAUACUCAAUAUGCCCAAACUUGAACACUGGUGGAGUUUGGGGAAAAUAGAACUUGACAUUUUGGAUGAGAUGUAUAGUUCAUCUAUAAUCAAAGAGCCCCUUGAACCCCACCAACAAUCGAAUUUGGGCCAAGCUUCCCACACAGAAUCCCCACAACUAACAGAAAAUACUAAUUUUUGGCGACCCCUCUGAACCCCCCUCGUGACCCCCCCCCCAUGGGUCCCGACCCUCAGGUUGAGAAACGCUGACCUAGAAUCUGGUGGUUUUGGCAGAACUGCUAACUCCAUUCAAGUCUUUUAUGGGCUAUUUGCUUUCACACAGCAUCCUAUAUGUGAUACAUCAACAUCUGUAAGAUAACAACACUAAACAUGCACAGGUGUAUAGGUAUGAAAUAAACACCUCUGUGUGCAGGAAGAGAACUGUGCAGAUGACAUAGAUGAGGAGAAAGGUCUAGACAUUAUGUCCUACAUUUGUGCACACUUCUUCCAUGAACUGUCAAUAUAAGCAAUGGGAUACUAAUGAGAAUUAGUAGAAAAUGUGUUUCUUUUCUCCCCAGCGGGAAAAGUUCACACACUAUUUUCAAGGUGUUUCUUCUUACCCUAUUAAAUGAUAAUAAUUUAGCAAUUAUUAACACAAAGGAACUACAGAACCCAUUGAGAGUUUUCCCUUCACAGCAUUUUUACGACUCCUGUUUAAAAUGAUCACAUGUUGCAAGUGCUUUCUAAUAUCCCAAAAAGGUUUGAGCAAUAUGAUUUAGCACAAGGCUUGCUGAAUGCGCAUAGAAAAUAUUCAGCAUGUCAUUGUUGCUCCUAGUUGUUUCCAGACUGGAACAAAGAAGCUAGAAUACUCACAGCAGGGCUCCACACUUGGUUCUGGGAAUUGCCCAUUUGUAGUCUCUCCUGUGUCCACUUGCCUCCACUCAUAUACUUCGAUUUUCAAAAUGUUCCUGUAAAAGAUGAUGGAGAAUGGAAUUACCACCAAAUAAUCCAGAGCAGAAAUGCCAUCUGGUUAUUUCAACAAAACUUGAGAACUACAUCAUCAAAUGUGGCAACCACCACCAACAUUUACUAGUAUUCAAAUAUAUAGCAAUUUCUUAGAUUUACACUUCUGGGACAAUGGAAAUUGUUCCUUUCAGCUCAAUUUAAGGUUCUUUGCUGACCUUGUUGCUCUCAGAACUUCAGUAUUCUCUCCAAUAGUCCCUUUCUUUCCAAAACACUCUGCAAAUUAGAAUUAAUUGGCUUGUUCUAAUUGGCAAAAGGAGAAAUGUAGCAAUGGAGCAUUUGUCCUAAUUACCAGAGGCUCACAGCAAUACAAUUAUCUGGUAGAAAUUCAUUUUGAUUUCGCUAAUGACUGUAAAAACAGGCAUCCUAAGAAACAAAACUAUGCUUAACGAUUUUGACUAAGUCUACAUGAUCUGAAAUUCAUUUUACAUGUCAAGACGACAUUGUUUUCAUACUAGCUAUUACAUCUGGAGUUACCAUACUUUGCUCCUUCUGUUUUUAUUGGGAAUCCACAUGAUGUCACUGUAGUAUUUGAGCUCAUGAUUCCUGUUUUGUUCUUCCCAAACUGAUUUGAGAUUGUGACCGUUAAUUAUCACAAUUGCAUUAUAAAUCUUACCUCU